rnacentral:rRNA from 1 species
GACGAACCGUGCGAACGUUUUUCGGAAUCACUGGGCUUAAAGGGCGCGUAGGCGGGCCGGCCAGUCGGAGGUGAAAGCCCCCAGCUCAACUGGGGAAGUGCCCCCGAUACUGCCGGCCUGGAGGGGGGUAGGGGCGUGCGGAACUUCCGGUGGAGCGGUGAAAUGCGUAGAUAUCGGAAGGAACACCGGUGGCGAAGGCGGCACGCUGGGCCUUUCCUGACGCUGAGGCGCGAAAGCCAGGGGAGCGAACGGG